rnacentral:rRNA from 1 species
UGGGGAAUAUUGCACAAUGGGCGCAAGCCUGAUGCAGCCAUGCCGCGUGUAUGAAGAAGGCCUUCGGGUUGUAAAGUACUUUCAGUCGGGAGGAAGGUGUCAAGGUUAAUAACCUUGGCAAUUGACGUUACCGACAGAAGAAGCACCGGCUAACUCCGUGCCAGCAGCCGCGGAAAUACGGAGGGUGCAAGCGUUAAUCGGAAUUACUGGGCGUAAAGCGCACGCAGGCGGUCUGUCAAGUCGGAUGUGAAAUCCCCGGGCUCAACCUGGGAACUGCAUUCGAAACUGGCAGGCUAGAGUCUUGUAGAGGGGGGUAGAAUUCCAGGUGUAGCGGUGAAAUGCGUAGAGAUCUGGAGGAAUACCGGUGGCGAAGGCGGCCCCCUGGACAAAGACUGACGCUCAGGUGCGAAAGCGUGGGGAGCAAACAGG